CGGAGGGCCAACGGGGUAAUAGUUAGAAUGGCCACUGUUCUCGGCAUUAUUAAACCUUUCCUGCAAGGAUAAAAGUAUCUCCUUAGAAAAUAUGCCGCGUUGACACCAAACGUCAAAAACGUAUUUGAUUUUUGUUUUAAUGGAAGCAGGAACUGACGCGUACGCGUCAGCUACAGAGUUUACGACAUACUAUGCAAAUAUUAUUAGAAUCUAAACCAUAUAGGAGAUGUUCCAAGCUCAUAAUGAUAGUAACUUACUGGAGAAACGGCAUCAAUAUAUUCAGAUAUUUUUUUGACCCGGGAUUGUUGAACGACUUCGUUGAGCAGGUAAAGCAAUAAAAGCUUUUUGUUGGAAGAAGCUGGUUAAAUUAGUUAGACAAUCGAACAAAUUCCUAAAGGAGUCAUACAUUCAUACAAAGCUUCCAGCCAUAUUUGGACAAUUUCAUCAGCAUAACGCUUGUGAAACAUAACCCAAUGCGCUAUUCCCGUUAUACUUUCUUGUGUUUCAUUUAGAGUAGCCAACUUUGAAGAAACAGUGUCUGGAGUCAAAGCCAUCUUGUUUUAUGCUGAUGGUGAGUUUCUUACGACACACUGCUGUUAGCAUCGCAAACGAAAUCAUAAGCAUAAGUAAUAAAUACUUCUUGUAUAAUAUCAAUGUUUUACAUUAUAGCCUAUACUUAAAAUGAUUUUGAAACAACAGAUUAAUUAGUUUGGGUAGAGCAAAAAUCUUCGUCUCAUUUGUAAAGAUGGAAAAGAACAUUUAUUAUUCUCAAACUACCCAGUUUUCUCCAAGAUUCCCUCUUAAAUAUUAGGUAUAUAAAAUACAUUAUUCGUUUUCUCAUGAUUUUGUUUAGUCUCAGCAGGUCAUCUUAGCUAACGGCUAUCACUCACUGUAACAUUUACAGUACGAGUUUUGGUAAGAAUGCUAGACGAAAUCUUGUGAUGUUAUAUGUUGGGGAUUAUGAAAAGAAACUAUUCGGCGUGUUGAGAAAUGUGUACGGAGUGCAAAUGUGUGUUUUAAUGACUUGUCUGAAGCAGGAAUUACUAUAUACUACUCACCGCAUUGAGACUUUGUUUUUGCUUCCCUUGUAUUACUAUAAACUAUGGCAUAUACUUACGUAAAAAAUUAUAUAAUAAACUAAUUGUUCGUUUGAAAUCG